CAUCUAAGCGGGAAGCCCACCCCAAGAUAAGGUGUCCCGGGCGCAAGCCCCUGAAGACCCCAGGUAGACCACCUGGUUGAUAGGCGGGAUGUGGAAGCGCGGUGACGCGUGAAGCUUACCCGUACUAAUCGGUCGUGAGGCUUGACCACACA
rnacentral:rRNA from 1 species